rnacentral:rRNA from 1 species
GCGUAGAAGCUUCUGAUGGUGGGUCUGUUCGCCCUUUAAAAUCUAACAUGAGCUGAGUUCAGAACGGCGUGAGCUAGUUCAGUUUCUAUCCUCUUUUUAAAAUGAGCUAAUUUUGUACGAAAGGACUUUUUCGCUAAAGCAAUGCUUUGUCACAAAUCUGUGGUUGCAUAAAUAAUAGGGUAUAAUAGGUUGAUUAGCCUACAGGAAGGGUUA